rnacentral:rRNA from 1 species
CGUUACCUAACGGACGUACGAUGGUAGGGGUCCGUCGAGAGGAGGAUCCCCACCACUGGUACUGAGACACGGACCAGACUCCUACGGGAGGCAGCAGUGAGGAAUAUUGGACAAUGGGCGCAAGCCUGAUCCAGCCAUGCCGCGUGCAGGAAUAAGGUCCUAUGGAUUGUAAACUGCUUUUAUACAGGAAGAAACACUCCGACGUGUCGGAGCCUGACGGUACUGUAAGAAUAAGGAUCGGCUAACUCCGUG